AUGAGAGAGAGAGAGAGAGAUCAAACACAUAGCUACUGGUGCAUACCCUCAGCCCCGAGGGUGAAAUACUCCCUCCUCGUCAUGGAGAGCAUCGAGAUGAUGAAGAUGGACAGUGGUGAUGGAUCCCCCCCCCCCGUCCGACAAGGUGCCAGAAAAGGGUCCCGAUUGGUUUUUUGUGUCUAUAGAGGCUUGGGCGGCAGAACUCCCGAUCUUCAUUCUGUUCCUGAAGUUUGGGGAUAUAUAAGAGGUGUUGGCGUCGGGAACAAGUCAGGGGGGUCCACGAGGCAGCCACGAGAUAGGGCUGCACCCUCCACCCUUGUGGUGGCCUCAGGACUCUUCUGGUCCAUCUCCGAUGCUCCGUGGGCUUCUUCUGGUCCAAAAAUAAUCUCCGUAAAUUUUCAGGUCAAUUGGACGACGUUUGAUAUUCCUUUUCUGUAA
rnacentral:rRNA from 1 species